GGGGACGACCGGUCUUGACAGGCUGAGUUCUUUAAAUGUAUAAGCACGCCGAGAAAUGGGAGUAUUCUCGUCAAAAUUCCUUCCAAACCAUAAUAGGCGAGUCUAACUACGCCCUUGCUGCUUAAUUAAGUUAGUUAACAGCAUUGCAUCUCACUUGCACUUUACUCUGUCCUGCAAGUAAUAGAGGUGUCAAACUUACAGAGUUAGUGAGUGAUUUGUUGCGGAUUACUUGCGAAACCCAAGCAACUAAGAAAUAAGGAGUCGUUUGUUUUGUACCUUUUUUAUUUCCGACAAUUGAACAAAACUAAGCGUGUAGAAGGCAUUUGAAAACCUUCUCUGGACGAGAGUUCGAAUCUCUCCGUCUCCACUA
rnacentral:tmRNA from 1 species